rnacentral:rRNA from 1 species
AUGUGGUUUAAUUCGAUGAUACGCGAGGAACCUUACCUCGGGCUAGAACGCAUUCGGAAUCAGGCCGAAAGGCCUGCGCCAGCGAUGGCCGCUUGCGAGGUGCUGCAUGGUUGUCGUCAGCUCGUGCCGUGAGGGUGUCGGGUUAAGUCCAUAACGAGCGCAACCCCUACUGCUAGUUGCCAGCGGGUCAUGCCGGGGACUCUAGCGGAACUGCCAGCGUAAGCUGCGAGGAAGGUGGGGAUGACGUCAAAUCAGCACGGCCCUUACGUCCAGGGCUACACACGUGUUACAAUGGCCGGUACAGAGGGCAGCCACCCCGCGAGGGGGCGCGAAUCCCGAAAGCCGGUCCCAGUUCGGAUCGGAGUCUGCAACCCGACUCCGUGAAGCUGGAUUCGCUAGUAAUCGCGCAUCAGCCACGGCGCGGUGAAUACGUUCCCGGGCCUU